GGCUUAGUUUGUUCAUACAACUCGACGAUGGAUUUUGUUUUCAGUGGCGGUGUUGAAGAAUCUUCAAUAGUAUGUUGGUGACUUGAAUCAGUGGCCUUGUUGCUUUUCGAAGCAACAAUGGUGAUCAUGUUCCUCCUAGUUGCCAUUGAAAGUUUGUUGAAAAUUCUUUCUUGAAGGGAAGAGAUGAGAGGUAGAGAUGUCCCCAGUGGAGUCGCCAGAAAUUUGUAGACACAAUUUUGAGCACCUGAAAUUAAACAAGCACACGUGUACAAAUAUAUGAUUUUAUUAAUAUAUGAAUGGGUACAAUCUCUAUGUAAUAUAUUCUUUCAAAAGAAUAUGACAAUCCUCUGAUUCUUCCCUUGGAUUUGAUGGAUGGUGACUUGAUUUAUUUGAGUAAUCAAGCCAAGAUUUGUGCUUUGCAAGAACGCGAAUUUGGGCGUGUAUUGCGAAGCAAGAUUUGAUGAUUUGAUGCUUUGAAGAGUACCUUUGAUUUGUCUUCAAAGUGUUAUUGAAGAACUCUUAUGGGGCGUUUUGGCUUGAUCCAACAGAGCUUCGUUCUUUGUAGGCUUCAAGUGUAGAUGAAGGAGGCUUGAGAACUCUUUGAGAGAGAGGGCUUCCUUGCUUGAAGAGAGAGAGAGAGAGAGCUUCCUUGCUUGAAGAGUUUGUCUUGAAGAAAAUUUGUAUCUCCCGGAAUCCUUUUUCUUUAGGUUGAGGCCCUCUAUUUAUAGAGAUAUGUAGGGGCUCUCAGGUCCUUUUUCAAUGCCACAUGACAUAAUUUUAUUGGUUGAUAUUUAUUGACAUGAUCUUGUAUUUAUGAAAAGAUAUAUGAUGGGAUCUUGAAUUUAUGACAAGAUAUCUUGAAUAUCUUAUCCCAAGUGUCAACUUUUUAUUGGCCAAGAAAUAUAUGAAGGCUCAUUUAUUUUCCAUGUCA